UUUGUCUGGACCAUAGCGCAGAAGAGA
rnacentral:piRNA from 1 species